CAGCAGCUGCGGGAAUACGGAGGGUGCAAGCGUUAAUCGGAAUUACUGGGCGUAAAGCGCACGCAGGCGGUUUGUUAAGUCAGAUGUGAAAUCCCCGAGCUUAACUUGGGAACUGCAUUUGAAACUGGCAAGCUAGAGUCUUGUAGAGGGGGGUAGAAUUCCAGGUGUAGCGGUGAAAUGCGUAGAGAUCUGGAGGAAUACCGGUGGCGAAGGCGGCCCCCUGGACAAAGACUGACGCUCAGGUGCGAAAGCGUGGGGAGCAAACAGGAUUAGAUACCCCGGUAGUCCCUGUCUCUUAUAC
rnacentral:rRNA from 1 species